GCUGGGUAUGGUGGUGCAUACCUGUAAUCUCAGCUAUUUGGGAGGCUGAGACGGGAGGAUCACUUGAGCCUGGGAGGUUGAGGCUACAGUGAGCCAUGAUGGUGCCACUGUACUGCAGCCUGGGUGUCAGAGUGAGACCCUGUCUCAA
ensembl:misc_RNA Metazoa_SRP Metazoan signal recognition particle RNA